UAAUUGGGCAAAUCUCCAAAAUAGCACAUUUCUAAGUUUAUAUCACAAAAUAGCACUCAAAAACUAAAAUGACCAAAAUAACAUUUUAUCUUUUGAAAAUUAUAAUUUUUUUAUUUUUCAAAAUUUGAAAUCUUAUACCCAAAACCUUAUUUCUCAACUCUAAACCCUAAACCCUAAACCCUAAACUCUAAAUCCUAAACUCUAAACCCUAAAAUUUAAACCCUAAACCCUAAACCUUAAACUCUAAACCCUAAACCCUAAACCCUAAAUCCUAAACCCCAC
rnacentral:lncRNA from 1 species